CCUACGGGCGGCUGCAGUGGGGAAUCUUGGACAAUGGGGGCAACCCUGAUCCAGCCAUGCCGCGUGGGUGAUGAAGGCCUUAGGGUCGUAAAGCCCUUUCGCCGGGGAAGAUAAUGACGGUACCCGGUAAAGAAGCCCCGGCUAACUCCGUGCCAGCAGCCGCGGUAAUACGGAGGGGGCUAGCGUUGUUCGGAAUGACUGGGCGUAAAGCGCGCGUAGGCGGAUCAGGAAGUUGGGGGUGAAAUCCCGGGGCUCAACCUCGGAAUGGCCUUCAA
rnacentral:rRNA from 1 species